AACGAACGCUGGCGGCAUGCCUAACACAUGCAAGUCGAACGAGACCCUCGUGUUUAAUGGCGCACGAGUGCGUAACGCGUUGUAACCUGGGCUUAGGUUGUGAAGAACGCCCCGAAAGGCUUGCAAAUGCCGGUAAAAGUCAGCGAUGCAAAGCAUUAUCGCCUUUGGAUGGGCCCGCGUUGGAUUAGCUGGUUGGUAGGGUAAAAGCCUACCAAGGCGACGAUCCAUAGCUGGUCUGAGAGGGUGAUCGGCCACACUGGGACUGAGACACGGCCCAGACUCCUACGGGAGGCAGCAGUGGGGAAUAUUGCACAAUGGGCGAAAGCCUGAUGCAGCGAUGCCGCGUGAAUGAUGAAGGAUUUCGGGAUGUAAAGCUCUAUUAGCCGGGAUGAUAAUGACAGUACCGGGCUAAUAAGCCCCGGCUAACUCCGUG
rnacentral:rRNA from 1 species